rnacentral:miRNA from 2 species
AAGUGAUUUAAUUAUGCCGUU